UCCCACAUAGCCCACAGCCUGAAAAGCUGGUCUUUCUCCCACUGUGGCCCCUCAACAGCACUGAGUUUAUUUCCAGGCAGCCAGUGAGCAAGGCUGAGAACUUGCCCCAGGCUACCGGACUCCCAGCUGAGAAAGCAAGCCGACUCAACAGUUCCUCAGCUGUCCCACAGAGCCUGAAGCAGCAAUCCACCUACUUCAAAGGGUCUAUGGAUUCUCUCAGCUUUCCUGGCAUGUUCCUGUGGUGGAAAAUGCAAUCUGGAGUGUUCCUGGGGAGCUCUGCUGUGUAAACCUUGGCUUUACAGUGAGAAGACGGGCUGAUCACAGAUGUGAACCGUCAGGUAACCAGGGCUGCAGUGAGAGCCACAGAUUUCAUGGGAAGUGGAAGAGGAGAUGGAAAGAGAGUCUUGCUGUGUCACCCAGGCUGGAAUGCAGUGUCA
rnacentral:lncRNA from 1 species